rnacentral:rRNA from 1 species
CCCUUAGAUGUCCUGGGCCGCACGCGCGCUACACUGAAGGAAUCAGCACGUCUUUCUCCUUGUCCGAAAGGACUGGGUAACCCGCUGAACCUCCUUCGUGCUAGGGAUUGGGGCUUGUAAUUCUUCCCCAUGAACGAGGAAUUCCCAGUAAGCGCGAGUCAUAAGCUCGCGUUGAUUACGUCCCUGCCCUUUGUACACACCGCCCGUCGCUACUACCGAUUGGAUGGUUUAGUGAGAUCCUCGGAUUGGUCCCGGCGCGGCCUCUGGUCGUGCCGGAGUGCCGAAAAGAAUGUCGAACUUGAUCAUCUAGAGGAAGUAAAAGUCGUAACA